rnacentral:tRNA from 1 species
GGCGGCGUAGCCAAGUGGCAAGGCAGGACUCUGCAAAAGUCCCAUCCGCCGGUUCGAAUCCGGCCGCCGCCU